CCGGGUCUCUGCAGGAUGUGCGGUCGCGGGUCGGAGUCUAUAAAGAUUCCUAGGUCAAAACAAAGCAUAAACAAUCAACGCCAACAGAAAAAUCUUCCGAAGAACAAUUACAAGAAGUAACUCAGGAAAUUUUCCCAAGAGGCAAUCCAGAAGAGUUUGAGUUUCGAUCAGCUUGUAGGACUGAGACAGGAGCAGAACAUUGCUGGAAGAAAUUCACAAUACAGACCAGGAUGAAGUUAUUUCCCCAAAAGAGAGGUUCGAGGCAAGUGGUCAGCUCCCCGUUGAAAAUCAUUGUAGCAGACAAAUACCGGGAAUGUAAUAAAUUGGAGAAAAGUUUGUCUCUGGGCACAAAGCCUGUUGUACCUCUGAGGGACAGGCCAGGAAAGAGAGCCAGUGGAUGGAGGAUGGGUGGCUGAGGCUUUCCAUGUGAGUCAUAUCUGAGUGGACAUCGGGCAGUUACCAGUGGGACAAAGCCCCAUGGAUGCCAUGUGUAUGGGAAGUCUUUCAGCAAGAACUCACACCUUACUUGGCAUCAGAUAAUUCAUACUACAGAGAAGCCCUGUGUAUGUAUUGAAUGUGGGGAAAAAAACACAACUCAAGCCUUAUACAUCAUCAGAAAAUUCACCAUGGAUGGUGAAACCCUAUCUCUACUAAAAACACAAAAAUUAUCUGGGUGUGGUGGUGUAUGCUGGUAAUCCUGGCUACUCAGGAGGCUGAGGCAGAAGAAUUGCUUGAACCAGGGAGGCGGAGGUUGCAUUGAGCUGAGAUUGCGGCACUGCACUCCAGCCUGGGCGACAGAGUGAGACUCCAUCUCAAAAGAAAAGAAAAGAAAAGAAAAUUCAUGGUGGAGAAAAACCCUGUGUGUGUAGUGAAUGUGGUAAGGGCUUUAGGGAGACAUCAAAGCUUGUUAAACAUCAGAGAAUUCAUACUGGAGAAAAGCCCUAUAGGUGGGAUGAAUGUGACAAAGCCUUUAGUGGGAAUUCAAACCUUAUUAAACACCAACUGAUACAUACUGGAGAGAAGCCCUAUAAAUGUAUUGAGUGCGGGAAAGCCUUUAAUCCGAAAGCAAAUCCCAUGCAAUAUCAGAGAAUUCAUACAGGAGAGAAACUUUUUGAAUGUCAAGAGUGUGGAAAAAGCUUCAGUCAGCCAUCACACGUGAUUCAUAAUCAAAGGAAGCAUGCUUGAGAGAAG
rnacentral:lncRNA from 1 species